rnacentral:sRNA from 10 species
CAAGCAGAAAUGGUGUUAAAAUAUUAUCUAGCAGGAUAAGGGAAAGUUACCCUUAAAGAAUAUGAAAUUUAUCUUCAUCAGAUUCAUAUUCUUACCGAAGUU